UACGGAGGGGGCUAGCGUUGUUCGGAAUCACUGGGCGUAAAGCGUACGUAGGCGGCUUGCCAAGUCAGGGGUGAAAGCCUGGGGCUCAACCUCAGAACUGCCCUUGAAACUGGCUCGCUUGAACAUAGGAGAGGUGAGUGGAAUUCCGAGUGUAGAGGUGAAAUUCGUAGAUAUUCGGAGGAACACCAGUGGCGAAGGCGGCAUCCUGGACCGAUACUGACGAUGAGGUGCGAAAGCGUGGGGAGCAAACAGG
rnacentral:rRNA from 1 species